UGCCAACCAAUUUUUAAAAAUAUAUAAUAAAAAAUAAUUUAAAUUAUUAUUGAGAAUAAUAUCAAAUCAUUCAAGUUUAUUUUAAAUAUUAAUAUUUCUUUUAAGGUAAUGGGUGAGGACCGAGCUCAAUUAUUAUUGCAUUACUUUUUUCUAUCGAGACCACAUUGUUAUUGUUGUUGUUAUUAUUAUUUUUCUUUUGAAAGACAUUAUUGAAGCAUCUUUAUAUAGUGGGUUUUGAGGAAGGACUUUAGAUGAUACCAUGCUCGGGUUAAUUAAUUUAAAGCAUAUUAAAUAUAGGUUAAUGGUAAAUUCAAUUAUAUUUUUC
rnacentral:lncRNA from 1 species